rnacentral:rRNA from 19 species
GUAACAAGGUUUCCGUAGGUGAACCUGCGGAAGGAUCAUUAUUG